CGCAUCAGCCAUGGCGCGGUGAAUACGUUCCCGGGCCUUGUACACACCGCCCGUCAAGCCAUGAAAUCGGGGGGUGGCUUGAAGUACGCUUACCGCAAGGGGCGUCCUAAGGCAAAACCGAUAAUUGGGGCUAAGUCGUAACAAGGUACC
rnacentral:rRNA from 1 species